rnacentral:rRNA from 1 species
GAUGAACGCUGGCGGCGUGCCUAAUACAUGCCAGUCGAGCGAACAGAUCAGGAGCUUGCUCCUCUGACGUUAUCGGCGGACGGGUCAUUAACACGUGUAUAACCUACCUCUCAGACUGGGAUACCUUCAGGAAACCGGAUCUACUACCGGAUAAUUUAUUGCACCGCAUGGUUCAAUAGUGAAAGACGGUUUUGCUGUCACUUAUAGAUGGAUCCGCGCCGCAUUAGCUAGUUGGUAAGGUAACGGCUUACCAAGGCAACGAUGCGUAGCCGACCUGAGAGGGUGAUCGGCUACACUGGAACUGAGACAGGGUCCAGACUCUUACGGGAGGACGCAGUAGGGAAUCUUCCGCAAGGGGCGAAAGCGUGACGGAGCAACGCCGCGUGAGGGAUGAAGGUCUUAGGAUCGUAAAACUCUGUUAUUAGGGAAGAAGAAAUGUGUAAGUAACUAUGCACGUAUUGACGGUACCGAGUCAGAAAGCCACGGCUAACUACGUG